rnacentral:lncRNA from 1 species
GAUGAGGCAAUGGGUUGCCUUGUCUUCCAUUUCACUAUAGCAGCUUACAGUGUACCACCACGACAAACACAAAACCAGGUUGAAAACAAGGGGCUCUGUGCUUGUAUGAGGAGAGUCCUAGUGAGGCACUGGAACGAAGUACUCGCUGAUUAUAGCUUGAGGAAAGGAUGUCUUGUCCCAGUUCAGUCCUAUUUGUUGUGUUCUGUGGAGAUGAGGUGACCUGAUCUCUUUUAAGGCUGAGGUGGGACAUAGAUGCAAGACUACACUGCAAAAGGGAUUCUAAUUUUUAUCCCAACCUAAUAUACUUCACAGGUGAGGUAUGUUACAUCCAUGACUAUAUGGUAUGCAGUCAGGAUAUACUUUUACAGUGUUAUUGCUGAAAUAAUGUUCUUUUUAUUUUAAGGUUAUAAAAUAACUGCGGUGGCCAGGUGUCAUGGUUUAACCCCAGGCAGCCACUCGCUAAACACCACGCAGCCGCUCGCUCACUACCCCCAUGUUGGGAUGAGGGAGAGAACUGAAGAGUAAAAGUGAGAAAACUCGUUUCUAAAGACAGUACAAUAGGUAAAGCAAAAGCCAUGCACACAAGCAAAGCAAAACAAGGAGUUCAUUCACCACUUCCCAUCACAGGCAGAUGUUCCGCCAUCUCCAGGAAAGCAGGGCUCCAUCACACAUAAUGGUUGUUUGGGAAGGCAAGUGCCAUACUUCCAAACAUUCCCCCUUUCCUCCUUCUUCCCCCCAGUUUUAUGUGCUGAGCGUGUCAUACGGUAUGGGACAUCCCUUGGGUCCGUUGGGGUCAGCUGUCCCAGCUGUGUCCCCUCCCAACUCCUUGUGCACCCCCAGCCUACUCACUGGUGGGGUGGUGUGAGGAGCAGAAAAGGCCUUGCCUCUGUGUAAGCACUGCUCAGCGAGAACUAAAACAUCCCUCUAUUAUCAACAGUUUACAGCACAGAUCCAAAACCUAGCCCCACACCAGCUACUGUGAAGAAAAUUAACUCUACCCCAGCCAAAACC